AUUGAACGCUGGCGGCAUGCUUUACACAUGCAAGUCGAACGGUAACAGGGAGCUUGCUCCGCUGACGAGUGGCGAACGGGUGAGUAGUGCGUCGGAACGUGCCGAGUAGUGGGGGAUAACGCAUCGAAAGGUGUGCUAAUAACGCAUACGUACUGAGGUAGAAAGUGGGGGACUUUCGGGCAUCACGCUAUGCGAGCGGCCGACGUCUGAUUAGCUAGUUGGUGAGGUAAAGGCUCACCAAGGCGACGAUCAGUAGCGGGUCUGAGAGGAUGAUCCGCCACACUGGGACUGAGACACGGCCCAGACUCCUACGGGAGGCAGCAGUGGGGAAUUUUGGACAAUGGGCGCAAGCCUGAUCCAGCCAUGCCGCGUGUCUGAAGAAGGCCUUCGGGUUGUAAAGGACUUUUGUCCGGGAGCAAAUGCCUGGUGUUAAUAGCAUCGGGAGCUGAGAGUACCGGAAGAAUAAGCACCGGCUAACUACGUGCCAGCAGCCGCAGUAACAC
rnacentral:rRNA from 1 species